rnacentral:rRNA from 1 species
GAUGAACGCUAGCGGCAGGCUUAAUACAUGCAAGUCGUGGGGCAGCAUGAAGUAGCAAUAUUUUGAUGGCGACCGGCAAACGGGUGCGGAACACGUACACAACCUUCCUUUUAGUGGGGAAUAGCCCAGAGAAAUUUGGAUUAAUACCCCGUAACAUAGCGAUGUGGCAUCACAUUGCUAUUAUAGCUUCGGCGCUAGAUGAUGGGUGUGCGUAUGAUUAGAUAGUUGGCGAGGUAACGGCUCACCAAGUCUACGAUCAUUAGCUGAUGUGAGGGCAUGAUCAGCCACACGGGCACUGAGACACGUGCCCGACUCCUACGGGAGGCAGCAGUAAGGAAUAUUGGUAAAUGGACGAAAGUCUGAACCAGCCAUGCCGCGUGAAGGAUUGAGGUCCUCUGGAUUGUAAACUUCUUUUAUAUGGGACGAAAAAAGGUCUUUCUAGAUCACUUGACGGUACCAUAUGAAUAAGCACCGGCUAACUCCGUGCCAGCCGCCGCGGUAAAAC